rnacentral:rRNA from 1 species
GCAUAUCAAUAAGCGGAGGAAAAGAAACCAACAGGGAUUGCCCUAGUAACGGCGAGUGAACAGGCAAGAGCUCAGAUUUGAAAGGCACUUUUGUGCCGUUGUAUUCUGAAGUUAGGGUCCUGAGAAACGAUGCUUAAGUCUUCUGGAAAGGAGCGCCAUGGAGGGUGAUAGCCCCGUCUAGCAUUGACCUCAUAUAGGAUCUUAACAUGGAGUCGAGUUGUUUGGGAAUGCAGCUCAAAUGGGUGGUAUGCUCCAUCUAAAGCUAAAUAUCUGCGAGAGACCGAUAGUAAACAAGUACUGUGAGGGAAAGAUGAAAAGAACUUUGAAAAGAGAGUGAAAAAGUACGUGAAAUUGUUGAAAUGGAAGGGUAGGCCGCUAACCAUGUAGAGCCGUGUUUGGGGGGAAGAUAAAUGCUGUAGAAUGUAGCUCCUCGGAGUAUUAUAGAUGCAGUUCAUAUUCCCACCCGAGCGCGAGGAUCUCAGU